rnacentral:rRNA from 2 species
CUUGACCUCGGAUCAGGUAG